GAAAAUUCCCCCUCCCAUGAAAAUCUCCUCCAACUUUGAUGUGUAUCGACCUGUCCUGCAAAAAAACAACCAAAAUAAUUUCGAACAAACCUUGAAAAAACCUCCUGUCAACAAUUCUGUUAACAAGAACCAUAGCCCGCAAAUCCCUGACCCUGCCCCUCCUACUGUGACUCAAUCUCUAGCCACUAGACUUAGAGCUA
rnacentral:lncRNA from 1 species